rnacentral:tRNA from 1 species
GCCUGGGUAGUUCAGUGGUAGAACGCUUCCAUGGUAAGGAAGAAGUCGAGGGUUCAAUUCCCUCUCCAGGCUCCA